GAACUGAAGAGUUUGAUCCUGGCUCAGAUUGAACGCUGGCGGCAUGCCUUACACAUGCAAGUCGAACGGCAGCGGGGGUAGCUUGCUACCUGCCGGCGAGUGGCGAACGGGUGAGUAAUACAUCGGAACGUGCCCUGUAGUGGGGGAUAACUAGUCGAAAGACUAGCUAAUACCGCAUACGACCUGAGGGUGAAAGUGGGGGACCGCAAGGCCU
rnacentral:rRNA from 1 species